GAAGAUAUUCCAGAUGGUGUCACUCACGUGAUUGUGCAAGAAGGCACAAUUCGAAUUGAGGAU
rnacentral:ribozyme from 1 species